CCCCAGGUGGUAUAAAUGGUUAAUACAUUCAGCUGCUAACUGAAGGUUUGCAGGUUCGAGUCCACCCAGAGGU
rnacentral:tRNA from 1 species